GACGAACCGAGCGAACGUUGUUCGGAAUCACUGGGCUUAAAGGGCGCGUAGGCGGGUGCUCAAGUCUGUGGUGAAAUCCUCCGGCUCAACCGGAGAACUGCCAUGGAUACUGGGUGCCUCGAGGGUGGUAGGGGUAUGCGGAACUAUCGGUGGAGCGGUGAAAUGCGUUGAUAUCAUCAGGAACACCGGAGGCGAAGGCGGUCCACUGGGUCCUAUCUGACGCUGAGGGACGAAAGCUAGGGGAGCGAACGGG
rnacentral:rRNA from 1 species